rnacentral:rRNA from 1 species
UACGAAGGGUGCAAGCGUUAAUCGGAAUUACUGGGCGUAAAGGGUGCGUAGGCGGUUGUUUAAGUCUGUCGUGAAAUCCCCGGGCUCAACCUGGGAAUGGCGAUGGAUACUGGGCAGCUAGAGUGUGUCAGAGGAUGGUGGAAUUCACGGUGUAGCGGUGAAAUGCGUAGAGAUCGGGAGGAACAUCAGUGGCGAAGGCGGCCAUCUGGGACAACACUGACGCUGAAGCACGAAAGCGUGGGGAGCAAACAGG